GUGUGAAAAAUCAAGGAAAACAAGUGAAAAAGGUGAUGAGCAAAUUACACUGGUAAAAGUACAAAGAUUGUGCUUGAAGAUUGGGAUUAGAAGUACAUCGACUCUUAGAAUUGUUCCAACAAGGCCUCACAUGUCCAUUCGGAG